rnacentral:rRNA from 1 species
UACAGAGGGUGCAAGCGUUGCUCGGAAUUAUUGGGCGUAAAGGGUAGGUAGGUGGUCUCAUUUGUCUGGGGUGAAAGCCUUGAGCUUAACUCAAGAAGUGCCCCAGAAACGGUGAGACUAGAGUACUGGAGAGGGUCGUGGAAUUCCCGGUGUAGCGGUGAAAUGCGUAGAGAUCGGGAGGAACACCAGAGGCGAAGGCGGCGACCUGGACAGUAACUGACACUCAACUACGAAAGCGUGGGGAGCAAACAGG